rnacentral:rRNA from 1 species
AGAGUUUGAUCCUGGCUCAGGAUGAACGCUAGCGGCAGGCCUAACACAUGCAAGUCGAGGGGCAGCGAGAAUUAGUUUACUAAUUUGUCGGCGACCGGCGGACGGGUGCGUAACACGUAUGCAACCUACCCUAUACAGGGGGAUAGCCCGAAGAAAUUCGGAUUAAUACCCCAUAGUAUCUAUUAAUGGCAUCAUUUGAUAGAUUAAAGUUUCGGCGGUAAAAGAUGGGCAUGCGUCCUAUUAGCUAGAUGGUAAGGUAACGGCUUACCAUGGCUACGAUAGGUAGGGGGCCUGAGAGGGUAGUCCCCCACACUGGUACUGAGACACGGACCAGACUCCUACGGGAGGCAGCAGUGAGGAAUAUUGGACAAUGGAGUCAACUCUGAUCCAGCCAUGCCGCGUGCAGGAAGACGGCCCUAUGUGUUGUAAACUGCUUUUAUACAGGAAGAAUGUUACCUACGCGUAGGUAUUUGACGGUACUGUAAGAAUAAGGAUCGGCUAACUCCGUGCCAGCAGCCGCGGUAAUACGGAGGAUCCAAGCGUUAUCCGGAAUCAUUGGGUUUAAAGGGUCCGCAGGCGGUUCAUUAAGUCAGAGGUGAAAUCCUACCGCUCAACGGUAGCAUUGCCUUUGAUACUGAUGGACUUGAGUUAUAGUGAAGUAGUUAGAAUGUGUAGUGUAGCGGUGAAAUGCAUAGAUAUUACACAGAAUACCGAUUGCGAAAGCAGAUUACUAACUGUAUACUGACGCUGAGGGACGAAAGCGUGGGUAGCGAACAGGAUUAGAUACCCUGGUAGUCCACGCCGUAAACGAUGUCAACUAGCUGUUGGGGAACUAUGUUCUUCAGUGGCGCAGCUAACGUAGUAAGUUGACCGCCUGGGGAGUACGGCCGCAAGGCUAAAACUCAAAUGAAUUGACGGGGACCCGCACAAGCGGUGGAGCAUGUGGUUUAAUUCGAUGCAACGCGAAAAACCUUACCUGGACUUGACAUCUGAGGAACUUACUAGAGAUAGUUUGGUGCCUUCGGGAACCUCAAGACAGAUGCUGCACG